rnacentral:rRNA from 1 species
UACGUAGGGUGCAAGCGUUGUCCGGAAUUAUUGGGCGUAAAGAGCGUGUAGGCGGUUCGGUAAGUCUGCCGUGAAAACCUGGGGCUCAACCCCGGGCGUGCGGUGGAUACUGCCGGGCUAGAGGGUGGUAGAGGCGAGUGGAAUUCCCGGUGUAGCGGUGAAAUGCGCAGAUAUCGGGAGGAACACCAGUAGCGAAGGCGGCUCGCUGGGCCAUUCCUGACGCUGAGACGCGAAAGCUAGGGGAGCGAACAGG